rnacentral:rRNA from 1 species
AGUGAACGCUGGCGGUAGGCCUAACACAUGCAAGUCGAACGGCAGCACAGUAAGAGCUUGCUCUUACGGGUGGCGAGUGGCGGACGGGUGAGGAAUACAUCGGAAUCUACUUUUUCGUGGGGGAUAACGUAGGGAAACUUACGCUAAUACCGCAUACGACCUACGGGUGAAAGCAGGGGAUCUUCGGACCUUGCGCGAUUGAAUGAGCCGAUGUCGGAUUACCUAGUUGGCGGGGUAAAGGCCCACCAAGGCGACGAUCCGUAGCUGGUCUGAGAGGAUGAUCAGCCACACUGGAACUGAGACACGGUCCAGACUCCUGCGGGAGGCAGCAGUGGGGAAUAUUGGACAAUGGGCGCAAGCCUGAUCCAGCCAUACCGCGUGGGUGAAGAAGGCCUUCGGGUUGUAAAGCCCUUUUGUUGGGAAAGAAAAGCAGCAGGUUAAUACCCCGCUGUUCUGACGGUACCCAAAGAAUAAGCACCGGCUAACUUCGUG